GUGCUUUCUUAGGCAGCACAUAUACUAAAAUUAGAAGGAUACAGAUAAGAUUAUCAUGGCCCCUGUGCAAGGAUGACACGCAAAUUCGUGAAGUGCUUCAUAUUUUU
ensembl:snRNA U6 U6 spliceosomal RNA